UACGUAGGGGGCAAGCGUUGUCCGGAUUUAUUGGGCGUAAAGAGCGCGUAGGCGGCCUUCUAAGUCGAACGUGAAAUCCCCGGGCUCAACCCGGGAACUGCGUCCGAUACUGGAAGGCUUGAAUUCGGGAGAGGGAUGCGGAAUUCCAGGUGUAGCGGUGAAAUGCGUAGAUAUCUGGAGGAACACCGGUGGCGAAGGCGGCAUCCUGGACCGGCAUUGACGCUGAGGCGCGAAAGCCAGGGGAGCAAACGGG
rnacentral:rRNA from 1 species